AAAAGGCUUCUAAUUGGACAUCUGGCAUUAAGAACCCUUAAUAUAUGGUAGACGUAAUUAAGAUACAUAUUUUGUCCAUGGCAAUAAAUACAGUUGAACAAUUUCUGGACUGUGGACUCUAUCAGAAAUUACAGAAGAACUGCCCCCCUUCUUUGCAGUGACCAGCCUCUCCUCUAGCAUGCCUUGACCUGGCCAAAGGAAGUACAGUAAAGAAUGUCACGAAAUCUUAAAUCA